GACGAACGCUGGCGGCGUGCUUAACACAUGCAAGUCGAACGGAAAGGCCCUGCUCUUGUGGGGUGCUCGAGUGGCGAACGGGUGAGUAACACGUGAGUAACCUGCCCUUGUCUUUGGGAUAACUUCAGGAAACAGGGGCUAAUACCGGAUAGGAGCUCCUGCUGCAUGGUGGGGGUUGGAAAGUUUCGGCGGUUGGGGAUGGACUCGCGGCUUAUCAGCCUGUUGGUGGGGUAGUGGCUUACCAAGGCUUUGACGGGUAGCCGGCCUGAGAGGGUGACCGGCCACAUUGGGACUGAGAUACGGCGCAGACUCCUACGGGAGGCAGCAGUGGGGAAUAUUGCACAAUGGGCGGAAGCCUGAUGCAGCGACGCCGCGUGCGGGAUGACGGCCUUCGGGUUGUAAACCGCUUUCGCCUGUGACGAAGCGUGAGUGACGGUAAUGGGUAAAGAAGCACCGGCUAACUACGUG
rnacentral:rRNA from 1 species